rnacentral:misc_RNA from 1 species
UUAUGUUCACGUGCUGAGUUUACUUUUAUGCUUCAUGCUUUAUUGUAGAUUUUAACAGCAUAUACAACAUAGCUUACAAUUCAUUUCAUUUUGACAUACCUAUCUGCAGUUGGAAGUCAAGUUUCUUAAUUUCCAUUAGUUAUAAAACCGAGGCCUCUUAAUUUGUAUUAUUUUCAUCUUUCAGAUUGCCCCUUUGUCUAUGCUAUGCUAUUGCUAAUUGACAUUACUACAAGUUGACCUCAGGAGGUCUUAUGAUCGCUAGGAACUUAUUCUCUGUAGGGUGAAACAAUGGUUAGG